CAAGUACCGUGAGGGAAAGAUGAAAAGCACUUUGGAAAGAGAGUUAAACAGUACGUGAAAUUGUUGAAAGGGAAACGAUUGAAGUCAGUCAUGCUCUUUGGUAUUUAUAUCAUUGAGUGGGGUCAACAUCAGUUUUGAUCGAUGGAUAAAGGUACUAGGAAGGUAGCACUCUCGGGUGAACUUAUAGCCUAGCGUCAUAUACAUUGAUUGGGACUGAGGAACGCAGCAUGCCUUUAUGGCCGGGAUUCGUCCACGUACAUGCUUAGGAUGUUGACAUAAUGGC
rnacentral:rRNA from 1 species